rnacentral:rRNA from 1 species
GGGUCAGUAGGGUGGUCGUGCCACCGGUACGUACUGGUCUCACUGAUUCCUCCUUCCUGAAGAACCGUAAUGCCAUUAAUUUGGUGUUGCGGGGAAACAGGACUGUUACGUUGAAAAAAUUAGAGUGUUUAAAGCAAGCUAACGCUUGAAUACAUUAGCAUGGAAUAAUGAAAUAGGACGAUCGAUCCUAUUUUGUUGGUUUCUACGAUUGAGGUA